rnacentral:misc_RNA from 1 species
AAGUCGUAACAAGGUUUCCGUAGGUGAACCUGCGGAAGGAUCAUUAUGAAUGAAUAACAACCCACACACUGUGAACAUUAACUACUACAAUAAAAUACAGAUAGAUUUAUAUAAAAGAUACAACUUUUAGCAACGGAUCUCUAGGUUCUC